UACGGAGGAUCCGAGCGUUAUCCGGAUUUAUUGGGUUUAAAGGGUGCGCAGGCGGGAGAUUAAGUCAGCGGUGAAAUUUUGCAGCUUAACUGUAACAGUGCCGUUGAUACUGUUUGGCUAGGAUUUGGUUGUAGUGUGCGGAAUGUGUGGUGUAGCGGUGAAAUGCUUAGAUAUCACACAGAACACCGAUUGCGAAGGCAGCACACUAAGUCAUUAUUGACGCUGAGGCACGAAAGUGUGGGGAUCAAACAGGAUUA
rnacentral:rRNA from 1 species